UGGGCGUAAGGAUGCGUAGGCUGGAAAUCAAGUCGAGAGUGAAAUCCAACGGCUCAACCGUUGAACUGCUCUCGAAACUGGUUACCUAGAAUAUGGGAGAGGUAGAUGGAAUUGGUGGUGUAGGGGUAAAAUCCGUAGAUAUCACCAGGAAUACCGAUUGCGAAGGCGAUCUACUGGAACAUUAUUGACGCUGAGGCAUGAAAGCGUGGGGAGCAAACAGGAUUAGAUACCCUGGUAGUCCACGCCCUAAACGAUGCACACUAGUUGUUGCGAUGCUAGUCAUUGCAGUAAUGCACUUAACAGAUUAAGUGUGCCGCCUGGGGAGUACGGUCGCAAGAUUAAAACUCAAAGGAAUAGACGGGGACCCGCACAAGCGGUGGAGCAUGUGGUUUAAUUCGAAGAUACACGAAGAACCUUACCUGGGCUUGAUAUCCUAAGAAUCCUGUAGAGAUAUGGGAGUGCUAGUUUACUAGAACUUAGAGACAGGUGCUGCACGGCUGUCGUCAGCUCGUGUCGUGAGAUGUUGGGUUAAGUCCCGCAACGAGCGCAACCCUCGUGAUUAGUUGCUAACAGUUCGGCUGAGCACUCUAAUCAGACUGCCUUCGCAAGGAGGAGGAAGGUGAGGACGACGUCAAGUCAUCAUGGCCCUUAUGCCCAGGGCUACACACGUGCUACAAUGGCUAGGACAAAGAGAAGCGAUACUGCGAAGUGGAGCAAAUCUUAAAACCUAGUCUCAGUUCGGAUUGGAGUCUGCAACUCGACUCCAUGAAGCUGGAAUCGCUAGUAAUCGUAGAUCAGAUAUGCUACGGUGAAUACGUUCCCGGGUCUUGUACUCACCGC
rnacentral:rRNA from 1 species